UACGGAGGGGGCUAGCGUUGUUCGGAAUUACUGGGCGUAAAGCGCACGUAGGCGGCUUUGCAAGUCAGAGGUGAAAGCCCGGGGCUCAACCCCGGAAUUGCCUUUGAGACUGCAUCGCUAGAAUUGUGGAGAGGUAAGUGGAAUUCCGAGUGUAGAGGUGAAAUUCGUAGAUAUUCGGAAGAACACCAGUGGCGAAGGCGGCUCACUGGUCCGAUACUGACGCUGAGGUGCGAAAGCGUGGGGAGCAAACAGG
rnacentral:rRNA from 1 species